rnacentral:tRNA from 1 species
CCGCAGGCUGGCCGGCGGCGUGGGUCGGCGUGGGUUCGCGCUUCUCCACCGGCUCUGCGGGCAGGGGGAGGCCUGGUUCGGCCUGGUCUGUGGUC